CACAUCUGAGUCUGGAGCCUUCUGCAGGAAUGGAUAUAUGUGGAUGUAGAAACCUCCUCCCACCAUGAACAGGAUCAGAUAUAGAAAACGGAUCCAGAGGGAAGAGGAAGAGGAAUAUGCCGUAUAGUGACUGGAGAGGAAGAAAGAGCUCAGGCCACACCAGGCAGCAGUCACCUACAGCAGAGAAGAGCAGUCCUCCCGCCACACCCAGGAUACUCUGACCUCCGUUCCAGCUCAGCACUACUGCAGCCAAUAGGAGCGUCGGUGCUGAUUUGAUACCUGCAGACAUGAUGGACGCGGGUGUGUCAGGUGUCCACAGGUAGAAGUACACAGCUAUGGACGAGAAGAAAGGCAAGAGAGAAAGAAGGACAGCACAGAACUGAUAGAUAAAGAGAAACAGAAGGAAACGGGGAGACAAAUCACAAUUUAAGUUUUUAAGAGAUGGCUAAAAUUAUGAAAAUGUUAUCCUUUCCACAUGGAGAAAGCUGUUGUAACAUAAACAACUACUGACACAACGACUGUAAAUAAGAGUAAAUUAUUUUUCCGUA